rnacentral:lncRNA from 1 species
GGCUAAUGGCUUAUCCCAUAUUUUAGCUACGAAAACUUUAAAGCGAGGCAAGAUAGUUUACCAUGUGCGGGGGGGAGUCCCUGCUUAUGUGGAGUGGAAGAUGACCAUGGAAAGGGAGCAAGAACCAGACUAAGGUACUCCGAUGCGACGAGGGAGAAGGGGGAGAGUGAGGAACACUGUUGAUAAAAAUGUUUUGUCUAAC